rnacentral:rRNA from 1 species
GAUGAACGCUAGCGGCAGGCCUAAUACAUGCAAGCCGAACGGCGAGUCUUUUAGCAAUAGAAGACCUAGAGUGGCGUAAGGGUGCGUAACACGUAUGCAAUCUGCCCUCAACAGGAGGAUAGCUCCCCGAAAGGGGAAUUAAGCCUCCAUAGGAUCGUAAUGUGGCAUCACAUAGCGAUUAAACUACCAGGGGUUGAGGAUGAGCAUGCGCAUGAUUAGUUAGUUGGCGGGGUAACGGCCCACCAAGACGAUGAUCAUUAGGGGAACUGAGAGGUUGAUCCCCCCACACUGGCACUGAGAUACGGGCCAGACUCCUACGGGAGCAGCAGUAGGGAAUAUUGGACAAUGGGUGCAAGCCUGAUCCAGCAAUG